AUUGAACGCUGGCGGCAGGCCUAACACAUGCAAGUCGAACGAGUGGCGGACGGGUGAGUAAUUUCUGGGAAACUGCCCGAUGGAGGGGGAUAACUACUGGAAACGGUAGCUAAUACCGCAUACCAUCGGAUGUGCCCAGAUGGGAUUAGCUAGUAGGUGGGGUAAAGGCUCACCUAGGCGACGAUCCCUAGCUGGUCUGAGAGGAUGACCAGCCACGCUGGAACUGAGAGUCGGUCCAAACUCCUACGGGAGGCAGCAGUGGGGAAUAUUGCACAAUGGUCGCAAGCCUGAUACAGCCAUGCCGCGUGUAUGAAGAAGUCCUUCGGGUUGUAAAGUACUUUCAUCGGGGAGACGUUACCCGCAGAAGAAGCACCGGCUAACUCCGUGCCAGCGGCCGCGGUAAUAC
rnacentral:rRNA from 1 species